rnacentral:lncRNA from 1 species
AUCCAGUGGCCAUUCCGCUCUUCCCCCAGGGCGCCCCGAGUCUGGUAGUCAUUAAAAAGACAUAGCCCUUUAAAAGUGUGACACCGUCUUCCUUAAAGAGCCUGAAGCAAUGGCCCCAAAGAUAUCAGGACUCCACCUCUAGGACCUGAGACGGUGACCUUAUUGGGGAAAGAACUUUUUGUAGACUGUUGCCUUCAGAGCUCAGCCUUGCCUGAAAUCCAUCCACUCAAGAGCAGGUUCGCAAAGGGGAAAUGAAGGUCCACGGCAGAACGUGAAGAGGAAAAUGCUUUUCCAAACCCAGGCUGAGGGCUGAGCCACGAGGUUGCCUGAUCUUCCCAGGUCCUCGUUCCUGAAUCCUGAUGGCCCAGGCAGUGCCUCUCCACCCAGCCCCCCGCCUGCCCAGACUCUGCCUCGGAACUAGAAGACUCUUCAAAAGAAAAAAGGGUGAAGUGAGCCAUGAGCAGAAGCUGGAAACAAAUAGUCCCCCUUUAGAUGUAGGUCAGCACUUCUCCACUGGCCCAACGCACACCAUCCCCCGUCCAGGAGGCGUGUCUGUUCAGCGGCACUAGCACCUCGCCCCAGCCCCUGCCGAAGGCAUCAAGCGUGGGCGAGGUCAGCCUCAAAAAUGAUUCUCCAAACGUGUUGGAUCUCCAGAUGCCUUCCGCGUAGAAAGCUAGGAUUCAUUUAUGAACAACCCGAAUCCGUUUCCCUGUAGGAGCAAAGGAGAAGAACGUGUCGUCUCCUCCAGACGGGGACACGGAGAAGGGGGUGGCGUGAGGUCCCCUCUCAGAGGGGACGCGGGUCCUUUGGAAGAUGUGUCCUCGCCGUCUCCAGGGAACUGGAUGGGUGUCAGCUCCUCUGAAGCGAGUAUGCUGGUAAACGGAGAAUUUUCAAAGAAUUGGCUUUUUAAACAUUCAGUACCCAACGCGUUGAUGGACAAGUUCCACGUCAACUCAGUUGAAACGGCCAGCCUCCGACUGUCGGGUUGCUUGAUGUGACAAACCCAGCUCUAUGGCUGUGGCUGUAGACGGAGACGCUCACGUAAUGUGGGGCACGUGUUGGAUGCGGUGACUCUGCCACCUCUCGGUCUUUCGUAUCUGUCAGUCGUGGGUCACAUCUAUCCGUCUUUCAUCUCCCCAUGGCUCUAUCCCAUCUCCACUCUUCCAUCGCUCAGGAGCUGUGUAUCUAAUAUCAUCUGUCCACCCCCCGUCAUUGAUCUGUUCCAACAUCUCUCUACCACUGAUUGCAUCUGUAAGUCAUUCUUCUAUUUAUCAUUUUAUCUAUGUAUAUGUCGGUCCAUCCGGCCAAAAUAUCGAUUUAUCUAUCAACUGUCUGUCCAUCCAUCUUAUCUGUCUACCUAUUUCUCUAUCUUUUUAUCCACCUAUCUAUCCAUCUGUCCAUCUCUAUCUAUAAUCGCUGUAUCCAUCUGUAUGUCUGUCUGUCUGUCCAUCCAUCCGUCAUAUCUUUCUGUCUGUCUCUCUUUCUAUCAUUGAUGUCUACUGUCUAUCAUCUAUGUCUGUCUGUCUGUCUAUCUGUCAUCUAUCUGUGUCUAUCAUCGAUCCAAUCAAUCAUUCACAGACAAUGCCCUCACUCAUUCUGCCGUUACCCUCGUUCUUCCAAUGAAAACCCACCUGAUGAAACCCUUAGUUACCUGAGGAAGGGCUGCAGCCCUAGAGAUGGAGCUGAGACGUGGCCCCUCCUACCUCCUUCCCGAAAGUGAUGCGACUCCCGGCCAGUUACAUUUGACCUGCUCCAGGGUCGUGGUUACACGUAUUCGCUCGCAUACACAACCGUAGUCAUUGGUGUCGUGGGUCCAUAGACUACUCUGCGGUAACUCAGGCAGCGUUGUCAGUUUGGGUAUUUCAUUUUAUUCCCCCUUAUUAUUGUUGUGUAGAGUCCUUGCAGACACCUGUUGAGCACACGUUUGAAUGUGGGAAACACUUCUCUCUGAUGGAGCACAGGAGGUGAAUUGCAUAUGUGUGAGCUUCCUAGACACAAGCAUCCUUGGACACUGGGGAUUUACAGGAUCGGCGGCUUCUGGGGAAGCUCAUAGGAGCCCACAUCAGUGGGCUGUUACCUGGGACCAGAGCUUCUCCUCAUGGCUGAAUCAGGUCCCGUGUUUUGCUAUGGACGUAGUCGUCUGUUACCUCGGAUGUGUGUGAACUAUUUGACCUGCUCUGGAUGCUGCUCACACCACAAUUCAUGUUGCCGUCACUCCCUCCAGGAGACAAGAUGCAAAGGAAUCGGUUUCACCGUGGGACACAGCCCAGGGCUCAGAGCUCCAUUGCCAUGGCAGAUAAAAAUCCAGAGAGGAAACAUCGGGGCUGUACCCGUGGACUCAAGGACUGAGCUCUGCCCUGCGGUGGGCACGCAGAUGGACAUAGCCUCGACGGGUGGACGUGGUUGUCGGCGCGUGACAUGAGGAGCCAGAGACAUGCAGAAUGAGGUUUCUCCUGAGCAGGAAGCGUGCCCGUGAGCAACCAGCUGAGAAGUCGACCCAUCACGUGUGAAAAUGAGAAAGUCCCGUCGAGGCCAGACCCCGCUGUCCUUGGAAAGGUGUUGAGUUGAUUUCUUCCAAGGGGUGAGGGAGCGAUCCAGGUUCCCUGCCCAGCGGGUGCUCUGCCUCCCUAGUUCCGGAGGCUGGACUUUCAAGACCUGCUGAGAGCCAUCUUCCUGGUUCAUCAAUGGACGUUCUCUCCAUCAGGACAGAGACAAGACAGUUCCUUCUUACCCGUGAGAGAUACAUGUAUUGUCCAUGACUCCGCAGGAAAUUGAUUUCCCCAACCCGAUGCAGAGAUGGGGAAGGGGGGAGCCAAAAGAAGGGUUUGCUGUCCAUCUUUGGCGCCAGAGGAGAAGUCAGCCCCCAGAAGCUAAGCACUGAGAAGUCCAGUCUUCCACAUCCAGGGGUUUCCAGAUUCCCACUCGUGUAAGAAAUGCAGCGUGAUGUCCCAGUUUUCGUGCUUUUCUUGAGAUGUGGUCCCCUUGGAGGAGCUUCCCCCGCCAGGAUGGAAUUUCAGAGCUUUCGGCUCGAGAAGAAGGGAAAUGCCCCGAACAGCCACCCCCCAGGCCCCUUGUGGCCGCUGAGAAGUUGGGGAGGAUGCAGCCAUAAAGGAGGAUGUGAAAAGUAGGCGCGAUCGCAAGGCACGAAUCUCGGAAUCUUCGUGUUUCAUCGGGAAGGCAGAGGAGGAAGGAAUCUGCGAGGUGCAGCCGCCUCUUCUGACCUCAGGAUGGACGGAGAGGGCGUGAAGGACCCGUCAGUGACCAGCUGUUGCACAGAGAGCCCAGGGGAAGGGGGUGCCCUGGCGGGCACAUGGGAACCAAUGCUGCGGCUCACGAGAAGUUGGAGGAACAAACUGCUUUGUCCCAGGAGAAGAGGAGCAGGAUGGAACAGAUGCCCGCUGUAAUCGUGGGCGGAACCGGAGGGACGGACGCAACGCUUGGCGCUUCCGAUUCUGACAGUUGCUGACCUCGCGGGAGAUGGAUGCAGGAGGGUCCAGAUGUUCCGAUGAGGAAACGGAGGCCACUAAGUGUUGUGUAACGUCCCAAGAGGCCCCAGCUCUGAAGCGGUGGAGUCAGAAUGGGUUGCUUAACAGCCACCCCCACCCUGGGCUCGGAAGACGUCCACACCCAGCCGAAGAAGUUCCAGGGCCAGGUAU